AGUUUAUUCUCUACAUUUAACUACAGCUUGUAUUCAGGGUAACUCUUUGGUGGUGUAAUAUUUCGGUGUUCAUUUAUUGGGUGUCGAGGAGCCUGAUUGAACACUACACCUGAGUUAACAGCUUUGUCACCGCGCUCCUCUCAGCAGUUUUCACUUGGACCUCUCCCUCGAGCCAGACAGUGAUGGCCAAACUUGCUAGCAGCUAGCUGCUGAAGUUUGCCCCGAACCAGUUGGGACUCGUGAGGCAGUUUACCCGGCACGGCUAGGACCGUAACGGACGCGAGAAGGGGACCUGUGAGGGAAUUACGACACGUGGUCAAGAUGUUGUUGAAGGUACAACAUGAAAGGACAAAGAAAUAUGUGAAACUGGAAGAGGUCAGCUUCUCAGACUUUAUCAAUGCAGUGAAGCAGAAGUUUCUCAUACCAGAAGAUAAAGUGCUGAAAGUCGCAGAUGAGCAGGGCAUAGAGGUGGAUGAGGAUGUCUUUCCAGAACUUGCAACAGAAGCAAUGUGUUUCGUCAUCUCUACUGAUGAUGUCGUCCUACUUGCAGAAUCAUCCAAGAACAUAGCUGACUGCUCACUCUCAACAGAGUUUGCAGACUACUCCAACCUGACGGAAUUUGUGACACUCACACCUUGUGGUAGGCAGGCUUAUAGUAAAAGUUUAUUGUGAAAUACAAAAUGGCUCUCUCAUCUAAUGGGGCAAGUUGUGAUUUAAGUAAACUAAGCCUUAGUGUUCUUUGGUGUCAAGAGAUCCUUUGGAAUGAAAACAUGCUUGAUCUUCCUUUGCACCCUACUGUAUAUGGCAGUUUUGUAUUUGUUAAUUUAUGAUUGUAUUUUGUAAUGUAUCAACAUUGUUGACUUAAUGUAAGCUAUAUGGAAU